UAGGGACGGCACAAGAGGGAGGCUAGUGGUAGUACCUCGUGCCCCUUCCCAACUCCACCGGAUAGGGAGCAAGUAGAGUAUAGAACAUAGGAAAGUUAAAAAUGAAAGACAAAGUAAAUGAAAGUAUAUAAGAAGAAUCAAGUCAAUUUUUUAAUCACUUGAAAACACACUUUAAGGAUGAAAUCAGUGCAAAAUUAUAUUUAAAUAGGGGGAGUUUAUUUGAAAAGAAUUGAUUUUGAUCCUUGACAUGCGUGUUCUUAUUAUUUUAAUGCAUGACUUAACACAUAAUAUAUUUUGCAUAUGGUAUGAUGUCUUGAUUUAUGGGUUCUCAAUAUUUUGUAAUGCUCCAUGCUUGGACAACUUGAUUGAAUGUUUGGAAUAUUACAUAAAAUUUUUGUUUGGCAUUAUUGAAAAGAAAUUUUCAGAUUGGUUGUUAACAAUCAUCAUUAAAACAUGAAAGUUGAAUAAAGGAGAAGAGAAGGAUAUCUCUAUUUAGGAAAAAUAAAUUGAUUCUGUUCUAUCCUUCAACUUGCCUAAAUUUGGUAUAUAAUGUUCAAA
rnacentral:lncRNA from 1 species